rnacentral:rRNA from 1 species
AUUGAACGCUGGCGGCAUGCCUUACACAUGCAAGUCGAACGGCAGCACGGACUUCGGUCUGGUGGCGAGUGGCGAACGGGUGAGUAAUAUAUCGGAACAUACCUUGUAGUGGGGGAUAACUAUCCGAAAGGAUAGCUAAUACCGCAUACGCUCUACGGAGGAAAGUGGGGGAUCGCAAGACCUCAUGCUAUAAGAGUGGCCGAUAUCUGAUUAGCUAGUUGGUGAGGUAAAGGCUCACCAAGGCGACGAUCAGUAGCUGGUCUGAGAGGACGGACCAGCCACACUGGAACUGAGACACGGUCCAGACUCCUACGGGAGGCAGCAGUGGGGGAAUUUUGGACAAUGGGGGCAACCCUGAUCCAGCAAUGCCGCUGAGUGAAGAAGGCCUUCGGGUUGGUAAGACUCUUUUGUCUAGGGAAGAAACGGUU